AAGUCGUAACAAGGUAUCCGUAGGUGAACCUGCGGAUGGAUCAUUACCAAUUUAUAUGUUAGUUUGCCUGUGGCUUCGGUCACUGGUAUUAACUACUAUGUAAACGUUGAACUAGAUCAAUUGGUGUGGAUUGCUUGGGAAUGGACGAAGCGAUGAGCCUCUUCCGGACAGGCAAGCCCCACACUGAUAACCUUUUUCAUAUCAUUUACUCGUAUAUACUACCACAACAACAAAAACAAAAGCUAUAAUAGGACUUAUUAACGGCUGAGUGGGUAACAUCCUCGGCUUAAACAUAUAACUAUUACAACUUUCAGCAAUGGAUCUCUAGGCUCUC
rnacentral:misc_RNA from 1 species